UACGAAGGGGGCUAGCGUUGCUCGGAAUCACUGGGCGUAAAGGGCUCGUAGGCGGCCAACUAAGUCGGACGUGAAAUCCCUCGGCUCAACCGGGGAACUGCGUCCGAUACUGGAUGGCUUGAAUCCGGGAGAGGGAUGCGGAAUUCCAGGUGUAGCGGUGAAAUGCGUAGAUAUCUGGAGGAACACCGGUGGCGAAGGCGGCAUCCUGGACCGGCAUUGACGCUGAGGAGCGAAAGCCAGGGGAGCAAACGGG
rnacentral:rRNA from 1 species